rnacentral:misc_RNA from 1 species
GGUGGUCUGAUGAGGCC